GUAGGUGAACCUGCGGAAGGAUCAUUAACACGAAUCUCCCAAAAAAAGGCAACAAGAAACAGGGGGCAACCCUUUUUUCUUCUUGCCCAUUUCCCCCCUUUUUCAUGCGAACUCUUGUUAGGAAGUGCCUCAUAGUUUGGGGGGUGGCUCUCCGGCUCCCCCUUGGACUCCCUGAUCACUUCCGCUUUUUUUUCCUCUUCCUAUUUCUAAAAAAACACCCCAUUGAAAUUUUUCUUGACUGAACUUUCUUUUUUUCUUCGCUUUGGGUGGUUGUUUCUUCUUCUUCUUCUUCUUCCAAAGGAGAGAGAGAGAAACCCCCCCGAAAACAGGGAAAAAAUAUACACACUUAAAAUGUGAAAAAACAACUCUUAGCAACGGAUAUCUUGGCUCUC
rnacentral:misc_RNA from 1 species